UACGUAGGGUGCAAGCGUUAAUCGGAAUUACUGGGCGUAAAGCGUGCGCAGGCGGUUUUGUAAGUCUGAUGUGAAAUCCCCGGGCUCAACCUGGGAAUUGCGUUGGAGACUGCAAGGCUAGAAUCUGGCAGAGGGGGGUAGAAUUCCACGUGUAACAGUGAAAUGCGUAGAGAUGUGGAGGAACACCGAUGGCGAAGGCAGCCCCCUGGGUCAAGAUUGACGCUCAUGCACGAAAGCGUGGGGAGCAAACAGG
rnacentral:rRNA from 1 species